rnacentral:rRNA from 1 species
CUACGGGAGGCAGCAGUGGGGAAUAUUGCACAAUGGGGGAAACCCUGAUGCAGCGACGCCGCGUGAGUGAAGAAGUAUUUCGGUAUGUAAAGCUCUAUCAGCAGGGAAGAAAAUGACGGUACCUGACUAAGAAGCCCCGGCUAACUACGUGCCAGCAGCCGCGGUAAUACGUAGGGGGCAAGCGUUAUCCGGAUUUACUGGGUGUAAAGGGAGCGUAGGUGGUUCGGUAAGUCAGAUGUGAAAGCCCGGGGCUCAACCCCGGGACUGCAUUUGAAACUAUCGAACUAGAGUGCAGGAGAGGUAAGUGGAAUUCCUAGUGUAGCGGUGAAAUGCGUAGAUAUUAGGAGGAACACCAGUGGCGAAGGCGGCUUACUGGACUGUAACUGACACUGAGGCUCGAAAGCGUGGGGAGCAAACAGGCUUAGAUACCCUGGUAGU